UCUGCAACUCGACUACAUGAAGCUGGAAUCGCUAGUAAUCGCGAAUCAGAAUGUCGCGGUGAAUACGUUCCCGGGUCUUGUACACACCGCCCGUCACACCAUGGGAGUCGGAUAUGCCCGAAGUCAGUGACCCAACCAUAUGGAGGGAGCUGCCGAAGGUGGAGCCGAUAACUGGGGUGAAGUCGUAACAAGGUAUC
rnacentral:rRNA from 1 species